rnacentral:tRNA from 1 species
GCGGCUUUCGUAUAACGGUAGUACAUAAGUCUCCCUGACUUGAAGUCUUGGUUCGAAUCCAGGAAACCAUUCUA